rnacentral:lncRNA from 1 species
AUAAAAAUAAACCUUUAUCUUAAUUGAUUAUGGAAAGUUUUCCACCAACCAUAAAGAGAAGUAGAAAUAGAGAAGAUGAGGAGUAUAAGGCUUGAAACUAAAGUACACAUUAAUGACCAUGAUCGAAAGUGAACCUUUCGUGAAGCAUGAAAAGUAAUAGAAUGUGAAGAGAGCACCACUACUCUUUUUGGGAUCCUAGAUUAGGUCGACAAGACAUCAUGAGGGAGAGGAAAAAAUUCCCUUUAUCACUAUCUGUAAUAAAAAGCUCGUUUCACUUUUCACUUGCUUCCUACAAAGUUAGGAGAGAAAGCCAAUAAGUUUUCUUAGUAUAAAAAGGGAAGAAAUUGAUACACGUAAGUCAUCACAUUAUUAAACUCUGAACAAAAGACUAUGUUUCAAGUUACUUAGAUUAUACCAUUAACUUGUUUGGCUCA